rnacentral:lncRNA from 1 species
GGUCAAAAGGUGUAACAACAUACUGGAUUGGGCAACCUGGUUUACAGAUUAAAGAUUUGGACUCCCUACUGGACGCAAAAAGAAAUUUUUUUACCUUCUCCUCAUUUUAUUAUUAUUCACUGUGGAGCUAAUGAUUUGACAGAUUUAGAAUUGACAGGGAAGGGUUUAAUCGAAAAUGUAAAAUGUUCUAUCCUACGUUACAAG